GGCCCCCCCCCCAAAAAAAAUAAAAAAGUGUGUGUGUGUUGGGGGUGGGGGUGCUUAGACAGAGCUCUAAUGCUAUUGUUUUGCACUUGCUUUUUGGAUUUCUCCCUACAGAGUUGAAGGGCCCAUAUUGCAUGGAGUACUCAGCCCCUCUAAAGUCCUAUAGAUAAACUGAGGGGAUAAACACUCACUUGAAAGGUAUCAUGAUGGUUUCUUUCUUGUGGCAUCUUCAAAGUGAAUGUUUAGGCUAUUCUUUAGUUUUUCAGUAGGACUUUUGGGGCCCUGUUACUGACAUGAAUGACUUAAGCCUAGCAUAUACCGGCUACGGCGCAUCGUGUCAUAUCAUCAUAUUCAUAUCAAUACAAUGUUAAUAACAGCGACGUCACGCCCGUUCGUUAAUCCAUCCCUGGCGCCAGUAGAUUUCUAUUUCCAGAGGAAUGACAAGUGUGUCCAAAGAUCCCAUAGUGCACUGGAUUUAUGUUAUUUUUAGAGUGUCCAGAGGGUCUGUGUUUGAGUGAUUGUCUCGGGGGAUCGUCGACUCUACGCCGAUCAUGUGCUGCGGAUUUGGGAGGUUUUUAUUUCGAGACGCCCCCGGGCUGCGUUUUGUUUUUUGGGGCUUUAUUGAAGAAGUUAUGAACACACAUGCCUGGAUUAGAGUAACAAAAGGAGCCUGCUGUGCUUAUACGUGCAGAUAUUGUGGUACAUAAGUGGGACGGGUUGGCAGUCAUUUGAGAUUCAGCAUCAGGUGUGUUGGACUUAAAAUGACACGAGGAGGCAAACGGUUGUGGAUUUGUGGGGAUUCAUAAUGGGUGGGAUGGGUGCGUUUGAUUUAUGUUAGUGGGACAGGCGAUGCGUGCUGGCUUUGGGGUAAAUUUCAGGAGAUGUUAAAGGUGGAUGCCUCAGGGUGUGCAGCAUUUUAUUGAUAUUAGAUCAGAAUGGCUCUGUAUUUAAAAGAAAAGUGUUUAUUUAGGUGUUGUUUUAUAUCUGGGGAGACUUCCUUUGGUUUCUUUUGAUCCCCGAGGAGGAAGCUCUUCCUCGCUUCCUGGGUAUAACGGGGAAAUGAGAGUGGAUGAAAAAUCACGUCUCAAAUUUUCCAGAACUCGUAGAAUAUGAAGCCAAUUUCAGAUCAAUACUUUUGGCUGAAAAACUGGUUUUAAAGUCACUAUGAGGACCCACAUGUAAGGCCAACCCCAUCAAGCUGAAAAAUAAUCGACCAGAUGUCGAGAGUCUUCAAAAAAAAGAGAAAUAUUAGAUUUCCUCCACACACAGAAGCCUGAGAGUCUGAUUUAUAAUCUGUGACCUAAUUAUAAAUUAUGAAGCUAAAACCGGAGCUCCGUGUGUCAUUCCGAGAUUUAAAAAGGUAUAAACUGCAGUUGUUUCUUCCUCAUAUUUAUCCCCUGGGACGGGAGAGGCUCUAAACCGUCUGUAAUGUUUAAUAACACCGGCCCUCCGCCUCCUUCAGGAACCCGAGUCUCCGAAUUAGAUUUCUCCAAAUUGAAUCUUUGCGAAAUCCAAUUCGUAAACACUCUAAUGUCAUUAAAGGGAGUUUCAGAGGAGAAAUGUUUCAAAAGCCCAUAUCAGAUGAACCCUGCUUUCAGACGGAGGCCUCAUGGGGGAAAAGCUAGUUGAGGGCUCCUCCACAUAGCUGGCUAUAUCUGGAGAACAGAGGGGGGGGAGAGAGAGAAAGGGAAGGAGAGAGAGAGAGAAAGGGAAGGAGAGAAUGUGUGUGAAGCUGCCAACAACACCAGUAAGUCCUCCAGAGUAAACACAGCUGAUGGGGUAAACCCGCCAUCCACCCCUCCUCACCCCUAAAGUGCCCUUUCUCUCUCUCUCUCCUCUCUCUCAUUGUCUAUCUCUUUUGUAAUAUCCGACAAUUACAUCAACAAAACGACAAAGAGGUAUUUUAAAAGCACGAUGAGUGCCGGCGUUAUCGGCCUUCAUGCUCAGUUUCAGUGGGAGGAUGAAAGGAGAGGAGGGCGGAUUUGGACAGAGGCCUCCGUCAGUGAACACAUCCUCAACGCGUCCCUCCGCCCGCACCUCAGACGCUCCCGCUGUGUUUACCAAACGCUCCCGCCUUGCAGAGCGCUGCAUAUCUGACAUUUCUCUCUCAAACUCCAACCAGCUCCGUUCCCAUCCGAGAGCAGGGAGAAGACCAGAGAAGAAGGCCUCCGUGUGUGUGGCGUCACUGCAGGACUGAACCGUGUCAGGCCGGGCUGCCUCUAGACACCUGACCUCGAGCCACCCGGCCCAACACAGGCCCAGCAGCCCCUCCUCUCUCGACCCAGCCCAUCAACACCUGUC